AUGGCCGACGCGUGUCACACUGUAGUAUCUGUUCUUGCCGGAUUAAUAUCUGAUACCGGCUCUAUUGGGACCCAAGAUAUUUAUUGGGACCCAAGAACUUAUUUGUGCAACUUGGCGGAGCGCUUGAAGCUUGUUUCACCUCCUCCGCUGUCGGCCAGUUAUUUCACUACCACAGCGAUGGGCCCACGUUUU